GGAGGGGUGGCCGAGUGGUUGAAGGCGGCGGUCUUGAAAACCGUUGAUCCGCAAGGAUCCGGGGGUUCGAAUCCCUCCCCCUCCGCCA
rnacentral:tRNA from 1 species